rnacentral:rRNA from 1 species
AGAUGAGUUCUCCCUGAGACUAUAAGUCUCCUGAAGGAACGUUGAAGACGACGACGUUGAUAGGUCGGGUGUGUAAGCGUAGCGAUACGUUGAGCUAACCGGUACUAAUGAACCGUGAGGCUUAACCUUACAACGCCGAAG